AGUGGAUGGGGAGCAACCUAGUUGUGCGUGUGUAAAGGUAGUGCCAAGAAAAGCGAUGAUCAUGUUGAAAAUCAAUUCCCGGUACCCGAAACCGACACAGGUGGGCAAGUAGAGAAUACUAAGGGGCGCGAGGUAACUCUCUCCAAGGAACUCGGCAAAAUGACCCCGUAACUUAGGGAGAAGGGGUGCCACCGAGAGGUGGUCGCAGUGAAGAGGCCCAGGCGACUGUUUAGCAAAAACAUAGGUCUCUGCAAACUCGAAAGAGGAGGUAUAGGGGCUGACGCCUGCCCAGUGCUGGAAGGCUAAAGAAGUUGGUCAGUUUUAGGAUGAAGCUAGCGACUGAAGCCCCGGUGAACGGCGGCCGUAACUAUAACGGUCCUAAGGUAGCGAAAUUCCUUGUCGGGUAAGUUCCGACCCGCACGAAAGGCGUAACGAUCUGGGCGCUGUCUCGGAGAGAGGCUCGGCGAAAUAGGAUUGUCUGUGAAGAUACGGACUACCUGCAUUUGGACAGAAAGACCCUAUGAAGCUUUACUAUAGCUUGGAAUUGUGUUCGGGCUUCCUGUGCGCAGGAUAGGUGGGAGGCGUAGAAGGUAUUCUUGUGGGGAUACUGGAGCCAACGGUGAGAUACCACUCUCAGGAGGCUAGAAUUCUAACUUAAUUAAGGACAGUUUCAGGUGGGUAGUUUGACUGGGGCGGUCGCCUCCAAAAAGGUAACGGAGGCGUACAAAGGUUCCCUCAGACUGGUUGGAAAUCAGUCGAAGAGUGCAAAGGCAGAAGGGAGCUUGACUGCGAGAAGUACAGUUCGAGCAGGGUGGAAACACGGUCUUAGUGAUCCGACGGUGCUGUGUGGAAGGGCCGUCGCUCAACGGAUAAAAGUUACUCUAGGAUAACAGGCUGAUCUCCCCCAAGAGUUCACAUCGACGGGGAGGUUUGGCACCUCGAUGUCGGCUCAUCGCAACCUGGGGCGGAAGUACGUCCCAAGGGUUGGGCUGUUCGCCCAUUAAAGCGGUACGUGAGCUGGGUUCAGAACGUCGUGAGACAGUUCGGUCCAUAUCCGAUGUAGGCGUGAGAAUAUUGAGAGGAGCCUUCCUUAGUACGAGAGGACCGGGAAGGACGCACCGCUGGUGUACCUGUUAUGAUGCCAAUUGUAAACGCAGGGUAGCCAAGUGCGGAGAGGAUAACCGCUGAAAGCAUCUAAGUGGGAAGCCCACCUCAAGAUGAGUAUUCUAGUGUAAGGUCACGGGAAGACGACCCGUAAAUAGGCACGAGGUGGAAGUGCAGAGAUGUAUGAAGCCGAAGUGUACUAGUAGACCGUCGGCUUGAC
rnacentral:rRNA from 1 species